rnacentral:rRNA from 1 species
AUACGGAGGAUGCGAGCGUUAUCCGGAUUCAUUGGGUUUAAAGGGUGCGUAGGCGGACAUGUAAGUCCGAGGUGAAAGACCGGGGCCCAACCCCGGGGUUGCCUCGGAUACUGUGUGUCUGGAGUGGACGUGCCGCCGGGGGAAUGAGUGGUGUAGCGGUGAAAUGCAUAGAUAUCACUCAGAACACCGAUUGCGAAGGCACCUGGCGAAUGUCUUACUGACGCUGAGGCACGAAAGCGUGGGGAUCGAACAGGAUUAGAUACCCUGGUAGUCCACGCAGUAAACGAUGAUGGCUGUCCGUUCGCUCCGAUAGGAGUGAGUAGACAAGCGAAAGCGCUAAGCCAUCCACCUGGGGAGUACGGCCGCAAGGCUGAAACUCAAAUGAAUUGACGGGG